rnacentral:rRNA from 1 species
ACUAUGGGCGCUAACUACCCCGAUUCAAAACGUAUAAGCAUCUAAGUUUAUAUCUUUUGAUUUGGGGUGGUGUAAGCUAACGCGUUAAGCGCCCCGCCUGGGGAGUACGGCCGCAAGGCUAAAACUCAAAGGAAUUGACGGGGACCCGCACAACCAGUGGAGCGUNNNGUUCAAUUCGAGACGAAGCGAAAAACCUCACCAAGGCUUGACAUCCCGCCGUUUUAUUCUGAUGGAAACAUCGGAAGAUCCGUAAGGAAGGCGGGACAGGUGCUGCAUGGCUGUCGUCAGCUCGUGCCGUGAGGUGUUCCAUUAAGUUGGGAAACGAGUGCAACCCCUAUCCAAUGUUAAAUAUUCAUUGGAGACGGUCCCGAUUCAAUCGGGAAGGAAGGAGGGGCGGACGUCAAGUCAGCAUGGCCCUUAUGCCUUGGGCUACACACACCCUACAAUGGCGAAAAACAACGAGUCGCAAGCCGGCAACGGCAAGCCAAUCUCUGAAAUUUCGCCUCAGUUCAGAUUGGGGUCUGAAAUUCGACCCCAUGAAGUCGGAAUUGGUAGUAAUCGCGAAUCAGCAUGUCGCGGUGAAUACGUUCUCGGGUCUUGUACACACCGCCCGUCAAGGCAGCAAAGUCGGUAACUAUUGAAUCCCGAUUUAAUCGGGAGAGAUAGAGAUCGG